rnacentral:rRNA from 1 species
UCGGGAAUUUUGGGCAAUGGGCGAAAGCCUGACCCAGCAACGCCGCGUGAGGGAUGAAGUAUUUCGGUAUGUAAACCUCGAAAGAAUGGGAAGAAUAAAUGACGGUACCAUUUAUAAGCUCCGGCUAACUACGUGCCAGCAGCCGCGGUAAUACGUAGGGAGCAAGCGUUGUUCGGAUUUACUGGGCGUAAAGGGCGCGUAGGCGGCGCGGUAAGUCACUUGUGAAAUCUCUGAGCUUAACUCAGAACGGCCAAGUGAUACUGCUGUGCUAGAGUGCGGAAGAGGCAACCGGAAUUCUCGGUGUAGCGGUGAAAUGCGUAGAUAUCAAGAGGAACACCUGAGGCGAAGGCGGGUUGCUGGGCCGACACUGACGCUGAUGCGCGAAAGCCAGGGGAGCAAACG